UAUUGACAACCAUAUUGAUGGUUAUGCUGUCCAUAAGUUGGUGAAUGAUGCAGCAAUCAUUGAGUCAUUGGAGAGCCGAAUUCCAGCUGAUCAGGGUGUGGACGAGGCGGCUGCUGAUGUUUCACUUAGUGAUAUGUCAACUCAAAACCCUUUUGCUCUAAAGGAUGCCGUGGAUUCUAUUGGUGAUAGCUUCACACCCGAUUGCACAUCUAAAGAUUGUUCUAAGACUUCGUCUUCGGAAUUGAAACGUAACCUUGCUGACGUGUAUGAAGUUGAAGA